GGUUUACUGAUGAGACAGCGAAAAUGAGACAGGACCAUCAGAUGCAAUAAAGAUUCUAAUUUAAAAAGAUAAAAUGUGUUUUUAAAUUAAAAGAUAUAACUGUGUCUCUACUGGCUGAAGAAAGGACGGACUAGAUAAGUUCCUGAAUGUGGCUUCCCAGAUGGGCUGGGCAGGAAAUGGAACUUUGAACAGCAGUGGGCGUCCCUCCCCCCACCCGAGCCUCUAGCCCUCUGCGCCACUCUGCGGUGAAAAUGCUGCCUCGGAAGGCCUUUGAUGAUCCGAAAGGCCUUUGCGUCAAGUGCGGAGCUUGUCUAACUCAGCCGAGGUUUAUGCCUCACUGUUUAGAACCUCCUUCCUCUUGGAUGGCUGGUUCUUCUGAGAAGGGCGUGCAUCUGAAACGAAGUGGCAACACCAAAGUCCUUAAUAGGUAGCUGACAUUGAAGCGAAGGGCUAAGAACACUUGUGUUAGGACAAAACAAAACCCUGGCCUACAUCUCCCUGUGUCACGGGACAUGGUCAGUCCCCCCGGUAGCACAGGAGCUUACUGGUGUUUGCUAUAGCUGCAUCCCAGACCCUUUGGUUCCACAAGUAACCAAGCUGCUUCCCCACGGAAGGCAGUUUUACGUCCUUUAUCCGCCUCCUGUUCACCCAGCAGUGAGGGCGCAACGUCUACACCGGCUGCUCUGGAGGUCUCGCUGGGUGGGAAAUGGGGGAAGGCAGUGGUGCGCGGUCUCCGUGUCUGCAAUUCGUCCAUGUCAUGCUAGGCGCAGAAGCUGGGGAUCGUGACGCCCCCCCACCCCCAACAAUCUAAAACCUUAAUACAUUCAUCCCAGCACCUUUACUUUCCCUUCCUUAGCUGUUUGAAAACGGUGGUGCGUUUCUAAUGUGUGUUACUAAUGUUCUCAAUCUUAACCUUUUAAAAGGAUACUAUUGUAAAAUUACAGAAAGAGAACGUGAGAUGCCCUGGUCUUUACCAGUGUGACAAGUUCUUGGGAUGUGUGAUUUCCUCACUGUCCGCCGAGGCACGGGGGCUUAUGAUGGCUUUGAGGAAGGGGAACUUCCUUAGGGAUCUGGCGCAGGUUGACGGUCACACAUCCCUCUCUGAUUUCCUUAUGGGUGGGAAAAAUGUAGUGAAACAAUUGCAACGAGAAUGCUGUCUCGGUCCUUUCAGGCUGCUAUCACAAAAUACCUAAGACUGGGCAUAUUUUUUGCUCACAGUUCUGGAGGCAGGGACGUUCAUGAUCAAUGUGGUGGCAGCAGGUUCCGUGUCUGGGCAGAGCUUUUCGCUUCAUAGAUGGAACCUUCUUGCUGUGUCCUCAUGUGGAGAAAGGCGAACAAGCCCCCUCGGGCCUCAUUGAUGAGGGCCCUGAUCCUACUCCUGAGAACUCUGCCCUCAUGACCCUGAUCACCUCCCGAAGACCCCACCUGUUUAUACCAACCCAUCGGGUGUCAGGUUUCAACGUAAGAAAUUCGGUGGGAACACAGACAUUCAAACCGUAGCAAAUGCUCUCUCCUGUUUUCAUUUUUCAACUGACGAAGAUGUGGAGAUUCCCAUUCCAAGUCCUUGGGUGGGUUUUUCCAUCUGCCAAGAGUAAAUUCUUAACUUCAUUGCCAACAGUUUCAAGUUUUAAAGGGCAGGAGGACAAGGGGACUCCAUCUUGCUUUUUUAUGUGCCCAGAUUUGUCCACGGAAGAACAGUAUUCAGGUCACAAGCAUGAGACCCACUUGACUCCGUACAUCAAUCUCCUUAUGUCCUGCUCUUCCAUUCAUAAGAGUGGCAUUGAUGGACCGAAUGUUCCCAGGACAGGGUUACUGGGUCUAAAGGGAGGGUUUAAGACAGACUUCACAAAAUUAGGUGAACCGUUGUGAAAUAUUUGGAGGUCUGGUAUGGGUAUUUUGAUUAUAGAACUGUCGAUGUGUGGUGGAAGGAAUAGGCUGACACUGCCUCAACAUAAAACACCACCCGUGGGUCAGGCUGUGCAGCAGAUAACUCGCCCUGACCCUGCGUCCUAGCAGAAACUCAACAUUCAUUUUUAAGGAAUACAAUAUCAGAGUCCUUACUCGGAGAAAUAAAUUGGAACCAGAUAAACAUGCAAGUUUCACUUAAUCAGAAGAUCUUAGGCUUCUUUAAAACUGUAGAAAUCAUACAGAAAGUUUUCAACUGUAUGAAUUUGCUUAACAAAUUCUGUGCCAUAUAGUAAGCACUGAAAUAGGUGCAGGCAUAGAAAGAUGAACAAAACGGAACCUGCUUUUUGGGCUGUCACAGUGGAGGAGGAACAUGGGUCUAAAAAUGAUGAGUUCUAGGCCAGGCACAGUAGCUCACACCUGUAAUCCCAGCACUUUGGGAGGCCGAAGUGGGCGGAUCACGAGGUCAGGAGAUGGAGAUCAUCCUGGCCAACAUGGUGAAACCUUGUCUCUACUAAAAAUACAAAAAUUAGCUGGGCGUGGUGGGAGAUCAUCCUGGCCAACAUGGUGAAACCUCGUCUCUACUAAAAAUACAAAAAUUAGCUGGGCGUGGUGGCGCACACCUGCAGUCCCAGCUCUACUCGGGAGGCUGAGGCAGGAUAAUCGCUUGAACCAGGGAGCCAGAGGUUGCAGUGAGCUGAGAUCACACCACUGCACUCCAGCCUGAUGACAGAACGAGACUGUCUCAAAAAAAAAAACAAAAAC
rnacentral:lncRNA from 1 species